rnacentral:lncRNA from 1 species
UGUGUAUGUCUUGCCAUUGAUGUAGUCUACUGUAGAAACAUCCUUCCCUACCUCAUUGCACGAGAGACACGGAGUGGACCUUCAUAAGUGGAAUUUCUAUAUAAGAAAAUAACUUCAGAUGUGGAUUUCUACCCAGCACUGAUAAUUGCAGUUGCUCUACAGACAAGAAUAUGUGGUACUAUAUUAACAGUUCUAUAUGUGGUCAGAUAUAAAUGAUGCUAUGUACUGGGAACAAGAAAGCUAGGUUAGCAUGUGGCUUUGUUGUUUCAUCUAUGUCUCCAGUGUCAACAAGCUGAGGAAGUGUUUCAAUUUUUGAUCUGUCUAGAAAAUUAAAGAGACUGCCAACCAUGACCAGAAAACCCAACAGACAACAUCAGACUUGCAGAAGUAUCCCCUCAACAGAAGAUAUGAGUCUAUACCAUUGAUGCUCAACACUGGCCUCUUUAUCUUGACUCAGCAGCGUGUUCUGAAAUGUGGAUGGUUUGGGAUCCCAGGUUCAAAUCAGAAGCAUUCAUUCACACACUUAAGCGGGAAGUAAGGUCAAGGAUGGUGUCUUCACUGCAAGGAAUGGUGAUACCGCCCAUUGGAUGAUUGUAUCCAGAUUCUUCUUCAGCUUGACUCAACAAAUCCAGAAAUAAAGGCUGGUUCAGAAAAGUGAUUGGAAUCACAAAUCGCUUCUUCUGACUCUCUCCCACAUAUACUGCGAAAAAGCCUUUUGGGGUUGAAGUUGUUUUAGCAAUUCCAGGAAAGCGGAAACCCAUGAUUUCUAUAUUCCCAAGUGAAGGAGGAAGAAUUUUAAGGACUUUAAAAAAAGAGAAAGCUGUGAUGCUUAGCAAGGAGAAGGUUUGAGUUGCUCAUGAACCUGACCAUGCCUGUGUAUAUAUAGCUGUUAGGGUGCGUGGAAACUCAUCUUGUACAUGAAUGAUUGGUGAAGAGGCACUGAGGUAGGGAAACUAGGUUGUGAGAAACCACAUGGGUUUGUCUUCCUACUCAAGUUCUUCAUCCCUCAAGGACAUUUCACAUGCAAAGGAUACCAAACUGUAUCCCUAUGUUGAUACAUGAUUCCCUACAUUAAAUGAAUUAAGAAUCUCCAUCAGUUAUUUGAUAUAUGAAAUGAGUGGUGAAGAUGGCAGUAGUUGGGGGCAAAAGUGGGCGAGAAAUCAAGGAAUACAUGGUUUGUCAUGUCCUUCACGUUGAUUUUGCAUAUGCUAGUGUUCCAAAAUCUAUGGUUUUGUAGAAACAUCUAUCCCUACCUCCUUUACAUAUAUAACAACGGGCUCAUUAACUGGUGUUCCUUCACAGACAGAAAUUUCUGGUGCUGCUAUAAUAGUUUUACGAUGGGUCCGGAACAUAAAGGGCUGAGCAUCUGCUUUCCUGUGUCAUUUAUGAUCCAUUCAUCUAUAGUAUCACCAAGCUAAGGAGGUCUGUCAUUUUACUUGGUCAAAUCUAUAAUAUUCACUUGGUCAAGCUUGACAAGAAGACCGUACCAAAUUCAUUUCUUAAUCUACUAGAAUUAGAUAUAGAAGAAUUGGAUUAUUUGGUUUAGGAUUAUUGGUCUCAAUAACCCUUUUCAU